UACGUAGGGUGCAAGCGUUAAUCGGAAUUACUGGGCGUAAAGCGUGCGCAGGCGGUUUUGUAAGUUUGUCGUGAAAUCCCCCGGGCUCAACCUGGGAAUGGCGAUGAAGACUGCAAGGCUAGGAAUCUGGCAGAGGGGGGUAGAAUUCCACGUGUAGCAGUGAAAUGCGUAGAUAUGUGGAGGAAUACCCGAUGGCGAAGGCAGCCCCCUGGGAUAACACUGACGCUCAUGGCACGAAAGCGUGGGGAGCAAACAGG
rnacentral:rRNA from 1 species